rnacentral:rRNA from 1 species
GGACGGCACUAAAGCGUCGUGCCUAUACUCGGCCGUCAACGGCAAAGUGGGCGGCCACCUCGCGGGGGCCGGGCCGUUAAGCCUUGACGAGUAGGAGGGUCGCGACGGUGUGCGCAGAAGGGUCACGGCGUAUGCCGGCCUGGAGCCGCCGUCGGCGCAGAUCUUGGUGGUAGGAGCAAAUACUCAAUGGAGGACCUUGAGGUCUGAUGCGGAGAAGGGUUUCUUGUGAACAGCCGUUGCACAAGAGUCAGUCGGUCCUAAUCGCCCGGAGAAGUCCUUCAUUGGAC